rnacentral:rRNA from 1 species
UACGAGUGGUGCAAGCGUUAUUCGGAAUCAUUGGGCGUAAAGGGUGUGUAGACGGCAUAUUAAGUCAGUUGUUAAAUUCUUCGGCCUAACCGAAGACCUGCAGCAGAUACUGGUGUGCUUGAGGAUGGAAGAGAGAAGUGGAAUUCUCGGAGUAGCGGUAAAAUGCGUAGAUCUCGAGAGGAACACCAAUGGCGAAGGCAGCUUCUUGGUCCAUAUCUGACGUUGAAACACGAAAGCGUGGGGAGCAAACAGG